AAGUCGUAACAAGGUUUCCGUAGGUGAACCUGCGGAAGGAUCAUUACAUUCAGUAGCCUAGCUACUUGUUUAUACCCUUGUCUUUGCGUACCUAUUGUUUCCUCGGCGGGCUUGCUCGCCGGUUGGACAAAACUAUAACCUUUUUUAAAUCUUCAAUCAGCGUCUGAAUUAUACAUAAUAAUUACAACUUUCAACAACGGAUCUCUUGGUUCUG
rnacentral:misc_RNA from 1 species